rnacentral:rRNA from 1 species
GGUAACCUGCCCAUAAGACUGGGAUAACUCCGGGAAACCGGGGCUAAUACCGGAUAACAUUUUGCGCCGCAUGGUGCGAAAUUGAAAGGCGGCUUCGGCUGUCACUUAUGGAUGGACCCGCGUCGCAUUAGCUAGUUGGUGAGGUAACGGCUCACCAAGGCAACGAUGCGUAGCCGACCUGAGAGGGUGAUCGGCCACACUGGGACUGAGACACGGCCCAGACUCCUACGGGAGGCAGCAGUAGGGAAUCUUCCGCAAUGGACGAAAGUCUGACGGAACAACGCCGCGUGAGUGAUGAAGGCUUUCGGGUCGUAAACUCUGUUGUUAGGGAAGAACAAGUGCUAGUUGAAUAAGCUGGCCCUUGACGGUCCUAACCAGAAAGCCACGGCUAACUACGUGCCAGCAGCCGCGGUAAUACGUAAGUGGCAAGCGUUAUCCGGAAUUUUGGGCGUAAGCGCGCGCAGGUGGUUUCUUAAGUCUGAUGUGAAAGCCACCGCUCACCGUGGAGGGUAUUGGAACUGGGAGAAUUGAGUGCAAAGAAGAAGUGGAAUUCCUGUGUAGCGGUGAAUGCGUAAGAUAUGGAGGACACC